UCGUGACCGGUUAGAAAAUACAUGCAGUCGUAACAGGUAACCAUUGCUUGUUGCUUGAUAAUGAUUUCAAUUUGACUGAGUGGCGGACUGGUGAGUCACACGUGGGACACCUGCCCAGAAGCGGGCGACAACACCUGGAAACAGAUGCUAAUACCGCGUAACCACUUGGACCGCAUGGUCCGAGUUUGAAAGAUGGCUUCGGCUAUCACUUUUGGAUGGUCCCGCGGCGUAUUAGCUAGAUGGUGGGGUAACGGCUCACCAUGGCAAUGAUACGUAGCCGACCUGAGAGGGUAAUCGGCCACAUUGGGACUGAGACACGGCCCAAACUCAUACGGGAGGCAGCAGUAGGGAAUCUUCCACAAUGGACGAAAGUCUGAUGGAGCAACGCCGCGUGAGUGAAGAAGGGUUUCGGCUCGUAAAACUCUGUUGUUAAAGAAGAACAUAUCUGAGAGUAACUGUUCAGGUAUUGACGGUAUUUAACCAGAAAGCCACGGCUAACUACGUGCCAGCAGCCGCGGUAAUACGUAGGUGGCAAGCGUUGUCCGGAUUUAUUGGGCGUAAAGCGAGCGCAGGCGGUUUUUUAAGUCUGAUGUGAAAGCCUUCGGCUCAACCGAAGAAGUGCAUCGGAAACUGGGAAACUUGAGUGCAGAAGAGGACAGUGGAACUCCAUGUGUAGCGGUGAAAUGCGUAGAUAUAUGGAAGAACACCAGUGGCGAAGGCGGCUGUCUGGUCUGUAACUGACGCUGAGGCUCGAAAGUAUGGGUAGCAAACAGGAUUAGAUACCCUGGUAGUCCAUACCGUAAACGAUGAAUGCUAAGUGUUGGAGGGUUUCCGCCCUUCAGUGCUGCAGCUAACGCAUUAAGCAUUCCGCCUGGGGAGUACGGCCGCAAGGCUGAAACUCAAAGGAAUUGACGGGGGCCCGCACAAGCGGUGGAGCAUGUGGUUUAAUUCGAAGCUACGCGAAGAACCUUACCAGGUCUUGACAUACUAUGCAAAUCUAAGAGAUUAGACGUUCCCUUCGGGGACAUGGAUACAGGUGGUGCAUGGUUGUCGUCAGCUCGUGUCGUGAGAUGUUGGGUUAAGUCCCGCAACGAGCGCAACCCUUAUUAUCAGUUGCCAGCAUUAAGUUGGGCACUCUGGUGAGACUGCCGGUGACAAACCGGAGGAAGGGGGGGAUGACGUCAAAUCAUCAUGCCCCUUAUGACCUGGGCUAACACCGUGCUAAAAGGGAUGGUACAACGAAUUGGGAAACCCGCGAAAAUAAACUAAUUUCUUAAAACCCUUUUCCCUUUUCGAAUUUGGGGGGCACCCCCCCC
rnacentral:rRNA from 1 species